ensembl:lncRNA
GUGAAGAUGAACCCAAAUUAAGGCCCUUAUUCAACGGGGCUCUGGUUUAAACAGACCCAUGCCCAGGCACACUGUGGUGUGGCUGUUGGAUUGUUAAGGGACGUGGAGAAAUAAUGCCCCAGGGUACAGCCCCAUGAGCCUUCCUGGUAGCUCUGAUUCAGAAAGGAGGUUAAGCAGUCGCAAACAAAGAAUCUUAAGCAAGUGCAAGGAGAGAAAUAGCAAUUCCUGAUCAGCAUCAACGUACCAAUGUGAUUUUAUUUAAUCACAGCCAGCACUUGAUCUCACUGAUGAGAAUUAGAGAACCGAGUAAGGAGUGUCUCCUGGAUUCCUCAGGUAUUUUAGAAAAUAUUAAUAUUUUCCAGCCACUCAAGGCACUAAAAGCAAAAACAGCACCAGCAGAGGGAGACAAACCCUGUUAUCAGACCAGGACCAGUAGGAAUCACUGCUUCUUUGUAGGAACCUGAACUGGAAACCUGAAGGAGGAACACCGGUGGUGAGAUGUGGUGUGCCAUUAAAGCCUGCAUCUGCUUAACAGCAUGAAAUAAGGACAGAAGAAGUUCUCUUAAAUAUAUAUGUAUAUAUAUAUGUAACCCAUUAAAACCAUGGGUUUUAAUGUCACUUGAAAAGAAAUUUCAAUCUUGGCAAGAAACUGAAAUCAUGGCUUCCUGGAGGAUAUAUGAAGCAGACAGGACAGGAACUGCUUGUGUGGGAGUUCUGCAUCUCUUAUCUGGAGAAAAGCCACAUCGUAGAUGGGGAAAUGUCAUCUUAUAGCAUGAACCACGAGAAGAAAACGUGCAGGGGGAUGGGUAUGUGAAAAUCAUUCUUUAAUUAGUUGUCUAGAUAGAAAUAACUGCGGAUGCCUUCGAAUAGACUGCUGCUACAGAUGAAACCAACAAUAAAAAUCUUUGGGAGCGCUCGACAAGGAUUUUUUCUUUCUGUACUGUGGGUACUUGUGAUGACAUUGACUGCUGCAAAUACAUACUGGUAGGAGGCCUUGGGAGGUCAUCUCUCCCCCCUACCCCAAGGUCUGAA